AGGUAGAGUGGCCGAAUGGUAGGCGGCAGGCUGUAGUCCUGUUAAUAUAGGUUUGAUUCCUGUUUCUAU
rnacentral:tRNA from 1 species